UACGUAGGGAGCAAGCGUUGUCCGGAAUCAUUGGGCGUAAAGCGCGCGUAGGCGGCCUUGUAAGUCCGUUGUGAAAGUCAAAGGCUCAACCUUUGAAAGCCGAUGGAUACUGCAAGGCUGGAGUCCGGAAGAGGCGAGUGGAAUUCCUGGUGUAGCGGUGAAAUGCGCAGAUAUCGGGAAGAACACCCGUGGCGAAGGCGGUUCUCUGGGACGGUACUGACGCUGAGACGCGAAAGCGUGGGGAGCGAACAGG
rnacentral:rRNA from 1 species